UCUCCGUUGGUGUACCAGCGGAGGGAUCAUUACUGAGUUACCGCUCUACAACCCUUUGUGAACAUACCUAACUGUUGCUUCGGCGGGCAGAGGUCCCUCGCGGAUCUCUCCCGGCAACGCCCUCACGGGCGGAGCGCCCGCCGGAGGAUACUAAACUCUAUUUUAACGACGUUUCUUCUGAGUGGCACAAGCAAAUAAUUAAAACUUUUAACAACGGAUCUCUUGGUUCUG
rnacentral:misc_RNA from 1 species